rnacentral:rRNA from 1 species
GACGAACGCUGGCGGCGUGCUUAACACAUGCAAGUCGAACGGAAAGGCCCUGCUUGCCGGGUACUCGAGUGGCGAACGGGUGAGUAACACGUGGGUGAUCUGCCCUGCACUUCGGGAUAAGCCUGGGAAACUGGGUCUAAUACCGGAUAGGAGCCAUUUUUAGUGUGAUGGUUGGAAAGUUUUUUCGGUGUAGGAUGAGCUCGCGGCCUAUCAGCUUGUUGGUGGGGUAAUGGCCUACCAAGGCGGCGACGGGUAGCCGGCCUGAGAGGGUGGACGGCCACAUUGGGACUGAGAGACGGCCCAGACUCCUACGGGAGGCAGCAGGGGGGAAUAUUGCACAAGGGGCGCAAGCCGGAUGCAGCGACGCCGCGGGGGGGAUGACGGCCUUCGGGUUGUAAACUCCUUUCGCUAGGGACGAAGCUUUUUGUGACGGUACCUAGAUAAGAAGCACCGGCUAACUACGUG